CCAAGAACUGUAUUUCCUGAAAAGUGUACAUGUACGGUGAAUCAGAUCUUUAAGAAAUGUAAGUGUAUUUUAACAUAUAAAUGGAUGUUUUGAACGUUUAUUUUCGCGCAUGAUGAAAAUGAGACGACUUUAUUAUUUUACAGGUGUUCCGUUUCAAAAAGGCACGUACAUGAUAUUAAAUAUAAACUCAGUUAUCUAUUCUAUUCAAUCUGUACAAAAAGUCGUACAUGGUAAGAUAUAUCGAGUUGUUAUCAAUGUGUAUAAGUUAUACUAUGCCCUUGACUUAAUCCCUUUUACCGGUUAACAUGUAAGAAAAAUGAUUGAUUGCUGGUUUGAUGGUUGCUAAACGUCCAGCGGCAAAUAUAUAAUGCAUAUUAGGGAUAAGAAAGAAUUAGAUAUACAUACAAUAGGCAUGUAUUAAAGAAGAGCCCGUCUGGGAUGAAGGUAGAAAAAUUUGAACUUGCACUGUAAAAUGAGGGUAUAUUGGAACGGGAACCACAUUUAACCUUGCAAAAGGUCAAAUACGGACUCGUCAUAGGUAUUUUGCAAGUAUUUAUGACGUACAAAGAACGUGAUAUUUUCUAUACACUUUUCAUCGGUUUUCAUGUCUCCGUUCUGAGCGGAAUUGGCUGCGAAAAUGAAGAUCCCGCACGGCGAACUGACGCUCCACUUAACCAAAGAUUUACUGCCGGUCGAGAGAAAAACAGUAAUGAUUGAUAUGUAUUACCAUGUCAUCCUAGGGGUUAUGAGCAAAUUAGUAUCCCUACGUUACAGCUGAACUUUUAUAAUAUUCAUUAUGUCUUGAGACAUGGAAAGAUGUCUUGAGACAUGGCAAAAUGUCUUGAGACAUAGCAAAAUGUCUUGAGACAUAGCAAAAUGUCUUGAGACAUGGAAAAAUGUCUUAAGAAGUUUCGUUUUAGUUCAUUAUAUAAAUGCAAUUUUCUACAUUGUUGAUUUCAGAUACACCAUUGACAAUGGCCAUGUCUUGAGACAUAUAGUUAAUAUACUAAGAUAUCAAAUUAAACUUGUAAAAAGUAUGUGCAAUGGGGCCGUCUAUUUGUUUUUCAAUUGUUAUAGCAUUCACAAACAGAUUAAAAUAGUUUCUGAUUGAAUUCAAAUGUUCAAGAGGUGAAGUUUUGUUUGACAAACAGAUUUACAGCUGAUGCAAUAAAGAGAUACGACAAAAACUAGUCCGAUACCCACACAAUGUAGAUGGUGUAUAAAUUAAUAAUUAAAGACUCAAUGAACUAAAAGAUACAGAUCAUCCCUUGGAAGCAGUACGUAAACAAAACAAAAUAUCUAUGAAUAUGAUAUAUCUAACCAAAAGAGGCGUGGUAUGUCAAACAGCUGUAUUUCCAGGUGCAAUCUUUAGAUAGAAGAUAAAAUAUCGAUACAUUGUAGAUUUCUACGGACUGGUUUUUUUAAUGGUAUGUCAUAUUUGUAUUUUGAAGAAAACUAAGUCUUACAAAAAUGUUUUGCCUUGAGACAGAAAAUUAAUAUCUUGAUACUUUGUUGAUGUAUUAGAGUUUUGCUGUAUUGGUAUCUAUUUGUAUGUUGAAAUAAAAUAAUGUAUAAAUAGAAAACGACAGGAAAUUAUCAUUAUUAUUCUAUUUAUUUGAAGAUAUUUAUAAUGGUUAAAAAUUGUCUCGUAUAUUUAUAUUCAUAUGUUUUUGUUUAUUUUCUCACUCAAGGCCAAGAACUGUAUUUCCUAAGAAGUGUACAUGUACGGUGAAUCAGAUCGUUAAGAGAUGUAAGUGUAUUUUAACAUAGAAAUGGAUGUUUUGAACGUUUAUUUUCGCGGUCUACAUGUAAACAAAAUGAUUGAUUGCUGGUUUGAUGGUUGCUUAACGUCCAGCGGCAAAUAAUUAUAAUAUGUACUGGAUGAGAAAUAAAAUACACUCAGACUGGAAAAUGAGGGAAUAUUAGAUAGGGACAUAUAUUUUUUUGUUUAUUUUCUCACUCACAGCCAAGAACUGGGUCAGGAUCCCUAAUAGACCUUGAGAUGAGGAACUCAGAUGACGUAAUUAAAAACAAUAUUAGUCCGCCAUAACAAUUUUGGAAGCGUGAUUAUUAAAAAAUUGACAUAAAUGAACAAUAAGAACUGUUUUAUAAAGCUGAUGUGAUGAGAAAAGAAAUAUGUAGAUUUGACCUGAUAUAAAUUAUUAGAAAGGACAAUUUUGUUAUUGAAGUUUAUGAUCAAAAAUUUUGGAUUAUUUCAUGUGGAGAGUGACAUUUUUCACCAUCUUCCGGGGUCCUGCAAUUUGCGAAAAAAGUAAUUUCACUUGCCACCCAAAAAUUUAACCAGACAUGUAUAAAUGUAUCAGCUUCGACAUCACAUGUUCAGUAAACGAUAUGGACUGAGCAACGAGGAAAACUUACAUUACGGCCUAUGGAGAAUGAAUUAAAAAUUCACACAAUUUGUGAACUAUUAUUUCAAAGGUGUUGGAGUGUUUCAUAGUUCAAUUAUCACAAUUUCGGAUGAGCUGCUGAAUCGAGGUCAUUACACCUUUUAGUGCUUUUUAAUUAAAAAGAAAAAAAUGGCUUCCAUAAAUUUGAUUUUAUCAAAGUAUACAAUUUUAUACUUAUAUAAACAUGAAGAGCAGAAAUGGACAUGCAUUAUUUGGACUGGGGCCUCAGAGGAGAAAUAAUUAUAUUCUAGGGAUGAUCAAUGUUACAUGCAAAUGCCAACGUAUUAAAUGAAUUUGCACGUUUAGCAAACUUUUGCAAUUAAAUCUACUGUUUAGCCAAAAAAUUUAGGCUUCACCUUUUCAUAAUCAUUGUGUGUGAAUACAGACAUAUUGUUUUAGAACCUCGGGAGAUUAACAAUCAAGAAAAAUAUGUGUAGCUUGCCACCAAUCGCACACAAACAAUACUAACUGCAUGAUUCUGAAAUGUGGUUUGUUAUGAUUUGUGUUGUUUAUACAUGCUUGCACAUUUUACUCCCAUUAAUCAUUUCUGAAAAUACGAGUUUUUAACAAGUAAAUAACGAAAAUAUGGAAAAAAAAGCCCACCCUCUUACCCUAAGACACUGAAACAAACAUGGCAACAUGUUUAUGUAAGAUUAUAAGCUCAGUCAAACAUUUAUGUGUUUUUUUCACCAGUGUUUACUAAUUUUUACAGUGCAAGGGGAGUAACUCUUGAUGGUUUCAUUUACUGUGUCAGAAAACUGGGUCAUUCAAUCAACAGCUGAUCAAAGGAAGUAAACAUGCGUAAAGAUCUAAUUGAAAGUGAAACAUAGAGACAAAUGAAUGAACAAAGUAUGACAGUCAUUAUUUAAAUAAGACACAAAAAAACAAAAUAAAGAAUACAGAAAAAAAAAUAUACAAAUAUGACAUCGAGUUACAAAGGCAAACUGUGAAUGACUUAAUGUUGUAAUAUUCAUUUGAC
rnacentral:lncRNA from 1 species